AUUGAACGCUGGCGGCAUGCCUUACACAUGCAAGUCGAACGGCAGCACGGGAGCAAUCCUGGUGGCGAGUGGCGAACGGGUGAGUAAAGUAUCGGAACGUGCCCAGUCGUGGGGGAUAACGUAGCGAAAGUUACGCUAAUACCGCAUACGAUCUAUGGAUGAAAGCGGGGGAUCGCAAGACCUCGCGCGAUUGGAGCGGCCGAUAUCAGAUUAGGUAGUUGGUGGGGUAAAGGCUCACCAAGGCGACGAUCUGUGGCUGGUCUGAGAGGACGACCAGCCACACUGGGACUGAGACACGGCCCAGACUCCUACGGGAGGCAGCAGUGGGGAAUUUUGGACAAUGGGCGAAAGCCUGAUCCAGCCAUGCCGCGUGCAGGAUGAAGGCCUUCGGGUUGUAAACUGCUUUUGUACGGAACGAAAAGGUUUGGCCUAAUAAGCUGAGCUCAUGACGGUACCGUAAGAAUAAGCACCGGCUAACUACGUGCCAGCCGCCGCUGUAA
rnacentral:rRNA from 1 species